rnacentral:lncRNA from 1 species
GAGAGUAUAGGGUAGAUGCAGUGUACAGAAAACACUGUUCUUGCUUCAUCACCAUGGAUUAAAAUCGUUUGAAAGCUUCAACGCUAGCGGGCAGUGUUUCAAGCAGAAAUCUGGCAGCUAGUGGAGUCUGAGUCCUUAUAUGGAAGGCAUCAUCAGUACCAGCAAGGACACACAUACAGCCACAAAGCAAGACCUAGGAGAAAUAUUUGGUGCUCUACUCUCCUAGGGAACUGGAAGGAACCUGCUCUCUCCUGGGUAUACUUUUCUAAUUUUAGAGUGCUAAAGAAGCUCUUCUCACAGGGACCCGAGUGAAUCCUUUCUCCUUGGAACAAAGGACAAGAAAAAAAGAAAGGACUUUACCGCAGAAAUGAUGAAGAUCAUGUCUCCAAGUCUUUUCUGCCGUUGCCAGUAUUCUCUCCCAAUCUCCUGUGGGCAACUUCUUCGGGAAAACACUCAUGCAAUUUCAUAAGGACAAGCGAAAAUAUGAAGAAGCUGGAUCUUGGAACUAGGCUUUGAUCACAGAGCGGAGCUGAGAUGAAAGUCCAUCCACUCAUUCAACAAAUAAUUGAAUGCCACAUUUUGUUGGAACUCAGAGUUAUGAGUGGCCCUCGCCAUACCUACACUUUCUGACUGAGCUCCUCUCUACCCUGAAUACAAGAGACCCUAAUAGGCAGGAAUAUCAUCACCCCUCUUCAGCCUGAAGAUGUUACAGAAGAUGGAUAUUUGUCCGUUUACAACCCUUAAGAUUAAGGGUUCCCCUGUAAAAGGGAGGGGGAAAAUAUGUCAGAGAUGUUUGAACCAGAGCAACUUCGUCCUGAAUAGUGGCUCGGUAAAGUGAGGCUGACACCUAUGGACUGCAUUCCCAGGAGGUUAGGCAUUCUUAGUUACGGGAUGAAAUAGGAGUUUGGCACAAGAUGGGUCAUAAAGACCUUGCUGAUAAAAGGAUGUGGUACAGAAGCUGGCCAAAACUCACCAAAAUCAAGAUGUGAUGAAAGUGACUUCUGGUAGUCCUCACUCCUCAUUACACUAAUUAUAAUGCAUUAGCAUGCUAAAAGACACGUUCACCAGCACCAUUAUGGUUUACAAAUGCCAUGGCAAUAUCAGCAAGUUACCCUAUAUGGUCUUAAAAGGGGAGGAACCCUCAGUUCUGGGAAUUGCCCACCACUUUCCCAGGAAACUCAUGAAUAAUCCACCCUUUAUUUAGCAAAUAAUCAAGAAAUAACUAUAAGUAUAAUCAGUUGAGCAGCCCAUGCCACUGCUCUGCCUGUGGAAUAGCCACUCUUUUAUUCCUUUACUUUUUUAAUAAACUUGUUUUCACUUUACUCUAUGGACUCGCCCUGAAUUCUGUCUUGUGCAAGGUCCAAGAACCUUCUCUUGGGGUCUGGAUCAGGACCCCUUUCUGGUAACAGAUGGGGAUGGAGUCGUGGGUGGGGAAGGGGCACAAAAGCCCUAAGAAGGAAUUGAAAUGAUCUCUCCUUUUAAGGUUCUGAAGCAAGGGCAAGUCAAGAAAGGAACUUUAGAAAAAUCCUUUACUAAAGCUUUGGGAAUAUUAAUGAGGAAGCAAUUCAUAGAUUAUGGUGAAAAGAGAAGAAUCUGGCUUACAAAACAUAGCCCUGGACUACAGGACACUUUGGGACUCAGCCCUAGUGUUAUCUGUGUGGACCCUAGAGGAACAAAUGAGUCCUAAAGAAUCUCCUACUGAAUUUGUCAAGUUAU